rnacentral:rRNA from 1 species
GACGAACGCUGGCGGCGUGCUUAACACAUGCAAGUCGAACGGAAAGGCCCUGCUUUUGUGGGGUGCUCGAGUGGCGAACGGGUGAGUAACACGUGAGUAACCUGCCCUUGACUUUGGGAUAACUUCAGGAAACUGGGGCUAAUACCGGAUAGGAGCUCCUGCUGCAUGGUGGGGGUUGGAAAGUUUCGGCGGUUGGGGAUGGACUGGCGGCUUAUCAGCUUGUUGGCGGGGUAGUGGCUUACCAAGGCUUUGACGGGUAGCCGGCCUGAGAGGGUGACCGGCCACAUUGGGACUGAGAUACGGCCCAGACUCCUACGGGAGGCAGCAGUGGGGAAUAUUGCACAAUGGGCGGAAGCCUGAUGCAGCAACGCCGCGUGCGGGAUGACGGCCUUCGGGUUGUAAACCGCUUUCGCCUGUGACGAAGCGUGAGUGACGGUAAUGGGUAAAGAAGCACCGGCUAACUACGUG